GCCGGCGUAGCUCAGCGGUAGAGCAGGCGAUUCGUAAUCGCCUGGUCAAGGGUUCGAUUCCCUUCGCCGGCUCCA
rnacentral:tRNA from 1 species